rnacentral:rRNA from 1 species
GACGAACGCUGGCGGCGUGCUUAACACAUGCAAGUCGAACGGAAAGGCCCUGCUUUUGUGGGGUGCUCGAGUGGCGAACGGGUGAGUAACACGUGAGUAACCUGCCCUUGACUUUGGUAUAACUUCAGGAAACUGGGGCUAAUACCGGAUAGGAGCUCCUGCUGCAUGGUGUGGGUUGGAAAGUUUCGGCGGUUGGGUAUGGACUCGCGGCUUAUCAGCUUGUUGGUGGGGUAGUGGCUUACCAAGGCUUUGACGGGUAGCCGGCCUGAGAGGGUGACCGGCCACAUUGGGACUGAGAUACGGCCAAGAAUCCUACGGGAGGCAGCAGUGGGGAAUAUUGCACAAUGGGCGGAAGCCUGAUGCAGCAACGCCGCGUGCGGGAUGACGGCCUUCGGGUUGUAAACCGCUUUCGCCUGUGACGAAGCGUGAGUGACGGUAAUGGGUAAAGAAGCACCGGCUAACUACGUG